rnacentral:rRNA from 1 species
AACGAACGCUGGCGGCAUGCCUAACACAUGCAAGUCGAACGAGACCUUCGGGUCUAGUGGCGCACGGGUGCGUAACGCGUGGGAACCUGCCUUUAGGUUCGGAAUAACUCAGAGAAAUUUGAGCUAAUACCGGAUAAUGUCUUCGGACCAAAGAUUUAUCGCCUUUAGAUGGGCCCGCGUUGGAUUAGCUAGUUGGUGGGGUGAAGGCCUACCAAGGCGACGAUCCAUAGCUGGUCUGAGAGGAUGAUCAGCCACACUGGGACUGAGACACGGCCCAGACUCCUACGGGAGGCAGCAGUGGGGAAUAUUGGACAAUGGGCGAAAGGCCUGAUCCAGCAAUGCCGCGUGAGUGAUGAAGGCCUUAGGGUUGUAAAGCUCUUUCACCGGUGAAGAUAAUGACGGUAACCGGAGAAGAAGCCCCGGCUAACUUCGUGCCAGCAGCCGCGGUAAAGUGA